rnacentral:misc_RNA from 1 species
UCCGAGUUGACCCCGGCGGUCUCCCGUGAGUCCCCAACCUCCCGAAGGAGUUGCUGGCAACACAGGAUAAGGGUUGCGCUCGUUGCGGGACUUAACCCAACAUCUCACGACACGAGCUGACGACAGCCAUGCACCACCUGUCACCCGACCACAAGGGGGACCGUGUCUCAACGGUUUUCCGGGUGAUGUCAAGCCUUGGUAAGGUUCUUCGCGUUGCGUCGAAUUAAGCCACAUACUCCACCGCUUGUGCGGGCCCCCGUCAAUUCCUUUGAGUUUCAGUCUUGCGACCGUACUCCCCAGGCGGCGAACUUAACGCGUUAGCUUCGAUACUGCGUGCCAAAUUGCACCCAACAUCCAGUUCGCAUCGUUUAGGGCGUGGACUAC